AGUGAACGCUGGCGGUAGGCCUAACACAUGCAAGUCGAACGGCAGCACAGUAAGAGCUUGCUCUUACGGGUGGCGAGUGGCGGAAGGGUGAGGAAUACAUCGGAAUCUACUGGUUCGUGGGUGAUAACGUAGGGAAAGUUACUCUAAUACCGGAUACGACCUACGGAGGGAAGCAGGGGAUCUUCGGACUUUUUGCGAUUGAAUGAGCCGAAGUCGGAUUAGCUAGUUGGCGGGGUAAGUGCCCACCAAGGCGACGAUCCGUACGUGGUCUGAGAGGAUGAUCAGCCACACUGGAACUGAGACACGGUACCGACUCCUACGGGAGGCAGCAGUGGGGAAUAUUGGACAAUGGGCGAAAGCCUGAUCCAGCCAUACCGCGUGAGUGAAGAAGGCCUUAGGGUUGUAAAGCCCUUUUGUUGGGAAAGAAAAGCAGCAGUUUAAUACCCCGCUGUUCUGACGGUACCCAAAGAAUAAGCACCGGCUAACUUCGUG
rnacentral:rRNA from 1 species